GGCAACAUGGCCGAGCGGUCUAAGGCGCUAGAAUCAGGUGUGCGCCUAUCUAGUCCGAAAGGGCGUGAGUUCGAAUCUCACUGUUGUCA
rfam:Ceriporiopsis subvermispora B unplaced genomic scaffold CERSTscaffold_17, whole genome shotgun sequence.